UACGUAGGGGGCAAGCGUUAUCCGGAUUUACUGGGUGUAAAGGGAGCGUAGACGGCGGUGCAAGCCAGAUGUGAAAACCCGGGGCUCAACCCCGGGACUGCAUUGGAAACUGCCGAACUAGAGUGUCGGAGAGGCAAGUGGAAUUCCUAGCGUAGCGGUGAAAUGCGUAGAUAUUAGGAGGAACACCAGUGGCGAAGGCGGCUUACUGGACUGUAAAUGACGCUGAGGCUCGAAAGCGUGGGGAGCAAACAGG
rnacentral:rRNA from 1 species